AGAGUUUGAUCAUGGCUCAGAAUGAACGUUGGCGGCGUGGAUUAGGCAUGCAAGUCGCGCGAUAAAAGUAGCAAUACUUGGACAGCGGCGAAAGGGAGAGUAAUACAUAGGUACGUACCCUUGGGACUGGGAUAGCGGCGGGAAACUGCCGGUAAUACCAGAUGACGUUUCCGAACCAAAGGUGUGAAUCCGCCUGAGGAGCGGCCUAUGUCCUAUUAGCUUGUUGGCGAGGUAACGGCUCACCAAGGCAAAGAUGGGUAUGGGGUGUGAGAGCAUGCCCCCACUCACUGGGACUGAGACACUGCCCAGACACCUACGGGUGGCUGCAGUCGAGAAUCUUCGGCAAUGGACGCAAGUCUGACCGAGCGACGCCGCGUGCGGGAUGAAGGCCUUCGGGUUGUAAACCGCUGUCGUAGGGGAGGAAAUUCCGGAGGGUACUCCCUCCGGAUUGACUGAUCCUAGGAGGAAGGACCGGCUAAUCUCGUGCCAGCAGCCGCGGUAAUACGAGAGGUCCAAACGUUAUUCGGAAUCACUGGGCUUACAGAGUUCGUAGGCGGUUCUAAAAGUGGGGUGUGAAAGCCCUCGGCUCAACCGAGGAACUGCGCUCCAAACUGUAGAACUAGAGGAAGAUAGAGGUGAGCGGAACUGAUGGUGGAGCGGCGAAAUGCGUUGAUAUCAUCAGGAACACCGGAGGCGAAGGCGGCUCACUGGGUCUUUUCUGACGCUGAGGAACGAAAGCUAGGGGAGCAAACGGGAUUAGAUACCCCGGUAGUCCUAGCCGUAAACGAUGAGCACUGGAC
rnacentral:rRNA from 1 species